UCCAAUCACAGUGAAAAAUUAGAAAGGGGGAGUAGAAGUUUAGUAAUAUUUUUCAGUCAAGUAUACAAGAUUAAAAAACCUGUAGGAAUGUCACAUAAUAAAUCAAAUGGAAUAUCUGUGACCUGAAAGUCUACAAGGGAAUGCAAGGAAUGUUGGAGGGCCAUACCGCCAAGUCUGCAGUAAAAUUGUGGCUACCUAUCCAGUCACCCAAGCUGUUAUGUCUGGAGAAAGAUUCUGAGUUGUACCACUUAACAUGAAAGGGGAAGUUUCUUUCAGAGGUUUGGGAGAUGCUGGCUUAUAAACGUAUCCAUCCACUGUGCUUUAUUUAAUUCCCUGGUUUAUUACUGGUGGAUAUAUUGGACUUAUGGAGUUACAGGUGGUCAUGACAGCCAUUUGUAGGAAUAAAUCUGCCCUUUUCCCAUGUUAGAAACAUAUAUGUUCUUAAAUACAUGCAAUUAUGUAAUGUGCUGUGUGUGUAUGUGUAACAUGCAGUGGUAAUGUAACUGGACGUAAUAGUCAAAAAAUAUGACUUCAAAUGUAUGCUAGCAUUGUUUUUCAACAUUUAAUUAAAAAGGAACUUCAAAAGUGA